rnacentral:lncRNA from 1 species
GAGAAUCUCUAUAUGCUGAUACAAGAGUUUGCACUCGUUCUUCAUUACCAAGCCACCGCGCAAUUGUCACAAUCAUCUCAUUUGAUAAGCUGAUUUCUGCCACUGUUUCAGCAGUACUGCUGUCGGCACGUCCUAUGCAACCUUCAAGGUCGUUGAGUAUUCUUUGUGGCGGAGAAGCCAUGUGAAAGAGCUUGUCUUGAAUUGUUUGGCACAUCACAUCCAAGUCCAAAGAGCUCACUUCAGUAGGUUUAACCUGAAGACGAGAGAGAGGCAAGAUCAAACAACGAAAGCACUUCGAUAAAACUUGUUAACUAUAGGAAAAAGAAAACUACCUCUAGCUCGAGAUGAUUGCCGAAUCUGUUUUUAAAAUGCUGAGAACUCCCGAUACAUCUGAGCUUGCCUCCAACCUAAACAUAAAUGCAAUUUAGAAGAAUGACCAUUAAUAGUAUAUAUUUCGCUAGGAGCCAAUUAAUUCUCUAGUAAAGUACCAUUAUCUCAAUCCUUGUGCAGAGAGCUUGAUAUCUUGCUCUUGGUCCAGCUUGGGUUUCAAACAUCACGAAUAUUCAGUGCUGCAAGUCUCCAUCAGUGGCCGUUUUUCACCGAAAAAGGCAAGCUGCAACACUGUAUAGGCAUGAUAUGUUUGAGCAAGAUGCUGCACAGCCGAAAAAGGCGAGCUGCAGAGCGAAGGUACUAGGAAACAGAAUGUGAUUUUCUUGAAACUCAAUAGCAAACAAUUAUAUAUUUCAAUCACAUAGAGGCUCUUUCACCAAGAGACUCAUCUUUUCCUGCAAAAACUCAACUACAUCUUCCCUCCCUUCCUUGAGAAGCAGCUUCCUCAGCUUGCCAAACGUGUGCCUCCCCGGGCGAAUCCCUCGUUCCAUCAUCUCCUCCAUCAAGACGCAAGCCCUAGAGGCGUCGCCCUUGUCACACAACCCAUUGAUCAGUGCAGAAAACGUGUGCAAGCUCGGAGCAAACUGCUUCCUCUCCAUAUAUCUCCACACUUUGUGAGCCACCUCCAGCUCAUCUCUCUCACAGAACAUCUUGAUCAUCAUCGUGUACGUGUCUGCAUCUGGCUCACAGACUUUAGACAGCCUCCGGAACACCUUAAACGCCUCAUCUGUCUCCCCACGGCCAAUCAAGGCGUUGAUGAGAAUAUUGCAGGUUCUUGAAUUGGGACUCACCCCCUUCUUGUCCAUCUCAUCCACAACUUUGUAGGCGUUUUCGAAUUUGCUCACUUUGCAGAAAGCACUGAUCAAGGAGUUGAACACAACCACGUCGGGCUUCACUCCGUUCCUCUCCAUCUGAAGGAAUGUAUCAAUGGCAUCCUCAAUCCUAUUCUCAAUCCCAUAUGUAUGUAUCAAAACACUAUAAAUGAAAGAUGUCGGCUGGCAGCCUCUCAACUCCAUCUCAUUAACCACUCCAACUGCUUCGUCUGUGCGCCCCGCCUUGCAGAGGAUGUCGACCAUGAUCCCAUACGUGACAAUAUCCGGUUUGCAGCCGGAAUCAACCAUCUCAUUGAAGAUCUCUCUAGCUUUAGGCAAAUUCGGAGCCCUCCCCCAUCCUUCAAUCAAAAUGCUGUAACUCUUUGGAUUUGGACAGAAUUGAUCAUUCUUCAUUGCAUCAAAAAUCUCCUGAGCUUUCCUCACAUUCUUAGACUUGCACAGAGCACUCAGCAAGCCAUUGAACGCAGCCAGAUUGGGAGGAACGUUGUACUUGUUCAUGAUGUUGAACGUGUAGACGGCCUCAUCUACCUUCUGUGCCCGCGCAUACUUCCUCAUGAUGAUGCAGAAAGUCUCGAUAUUCAGCAUCUCUUUGCCCCUCAUGGCGUUCACGAGAUCCCACAUGAUCUCGUACUGCCUUAUCUUCGCCAUCGACUCAAUCAUAAUGUGGUAGGCUCGAACACUGUGCUCGUAGUGUCUCUGCUUCCCGGCCCACUCGAAGAACCGGUGAGCUAGCAUCCCAGCAUUCUCGAACCGCUCAAGGACCUUCUCGGCCACGUCUUCGGAGACACGAAUGCCGCUUUGAUCAAGAACCGUAUCGAGGCCUAGUUUGGGGCAGGACAUCAUGAUCUUGCAGACCCUUUUCGUUACAUCGAAUGAAUCUUGCACUGCCUCGCUGGCACUAUGCAGCCUGCCAAACGUCACGAACCUGAAAAAUGGCCUAUUUUUCACGAUCAUGAUGGCUGAUUGAGUAGAAGUUGAGAAAUUGAACACCUGGAGGAAAGUGUUUGGUCAACUAAUCAAGUUGUUGCAUACAAACAAUCAGUUAGGCAUUUUAUCGAACAUAUGGCAUGCAAAACUAUAACACACAAUGGCGCGAGAGAAGGCUGAGUACGGCGGAUGGGGGCUAGGUUAGUGCUGUUUAUAGUAAUGCUUCUGCCGCACGGGAUGGCGCAGCUCGUCGUCUUCCCGCCUUCAAGACUGAUUAGAUUUCAAUUUUCUUGUAGAUGGGAAUGGGAAUGGGAAUGGGAUGGGAGUUGCUUCAGUUGAACCUGCGUUUUGUUUUUUUUCCUUUCUAAAUUCACAUAUCAAUCAGGUGAGCCGACGGUGGCCCAUAGCAUAUAAGCGGGCCUAGCCCACCAGAAAAAGGCCAUUAAAAUAUAGCUAGCGUACUUCCAAAGGCAUAUAUAAUGGCUGAAAUGAUGGUCCUUUAAUGUAAUUAAGGGACUGUAAUGAUUUAUGAUUAUUGAUUAUCCGCCCAAUUUCUUUUUCUUUCUACCAUAUCAUUUAAGUUUUAUACAAUUCCAACGUAACCUAGGGUGGUUAUAGUAUGAGAUUUUUUUUCCAAUCAUCUCAAAGGUUGAUAUUUUGUUGGUCAGUUAAAACUUACAUGCAUGACAUUUUUUGUCGAUGUUUUAAACAGAAGAAUCAAUUUUCUUUAUUGAUCGAUAAGUUGAAAAUUAGUCCACAUAGUAAAAGAUAAGAGCGAGCUGCUGAUUGAAGUAUGAACGAGGUAUUGUCAUUAUUAUUAUUUGACUCAAUACAAACGAAACGACAUUGGGACGAUAGAAACACGAUAUACUGCGGUAAACAGACAAAUCAAAAAACUGUAGCUCGAAGAAGAGCAUAGGGCUAGACGAGGAGGAGCGGGGCGAUACCUUCGACGAGAAUCCGGAAAGAGCGAGGGAUCCACCGGCAGCGCGACGGCGAGUAGUAGAAAGUCGGAGGAAAUCAGGAAAAGCAGACUAAAAUCAAUUGUUUUAAGAGAAACCGACUAAUUGGGGAUCGAUCAACUUGGAUAGUGUAUAAAGUAUAAUAAAACUAGGUAUAGUCGUCUCUAAAAAAAAACUAGAUAUAGUGGGCUUUUAGUAUAGUUGGCCCUCUAUAUUUUGGGCUCAUUUUCUUAACUUUUCUAGAUUGUUUAUUGGAAAAUACUGUAUACUCUCAUAAUACAAUCUAUUAAUUAAUUAAUUAUAUAAAGCGAAACAUAUCAGAACCAUCACAAUAAUUCUCUAUCUUAUGUGACAAUUCAAAAUAAUUUUAGUUUCAUUUUUCUAAAUUCUCCAUUUCAUGCUUAUAUGUGUAACGAUUAAUUGAUUGUUAUACAUUCAUUUAUGAUUAUAUUUAUUAGGCAAAUUAAAACGUCCUAAACCCAUAAUUAUUACUAUUAAUUAUGUUUGUACUUUAAUUUUAUAUUUAAUUUAUAGUUUUCAGUUAAAAAUUAUUGUUUUUAAUUGAUUAUUUCAAUAUUAGUACUCCCUCCGUCCCCAAAAUAAGUUCCUCUUUGGGGACGGCACGGGUUUUAAGGAAAAUGGUAAAGUGUUUUGAUAGUGGAGAAAAAAUAUGUUAUAAUUAGUAUUGGGAAUGGUGAAAAGUGUUAUAAUUAGUAUUGAGAGUGGUGAAAAGGUGAAAAGUGUUAUAAUUAGUAUUGAGAGUGGUGAAAAAGUGAAAAAUAAGAAUAAAUAAAGUAUUAUUAGUGGUGGGGUAGUUGUCCAAAAAUAGAAAGAAAGAAAGAGGAACUUAUUUGGGGGACGUCCCAAAAUGGAAAAAGAGGAACUUAUUUCAGGGACGGAGGGAGUAUUAUUUAUGUCUUUCCUUUUAUGUUCUUUUUGCAUUUUUUUUAAUUUUUGUUUUAUAACCUAUAUUAUUAUUAUUAUUAUUAUUAUUAUUAUUAUUAUUAUUAUUAUUAUUAUUAUUAUUAUUAUUAUUAUUAUUAUUUACUUAAUAAAUAUAUAAUUGGUGACUAUAAUACUACAAAAUAUACAUUUGCAUUAUGUCUAUAUGCAUCGGUUCCAGAUAAUAAUGGGAUAAAUAUUUAAUCAUAAAUUCAAUGAAUCAUAUGGGUGGGUUAUUUCAUUAUUUUUAUAAAAAAAUAUAAUACUUUUAAUUGUUGUCGGUGAUCAAUUCUAUCUGAAUAAAUAUUUUUGGUAGCAAAAAUACCUAAAUUUAAAUGAACAUAUAUACACAUAUAUCAAAUAUUAAAUUAUUUUAAGUUAAUAUAUAUAUUUGGACAUGUAUUAUAUUAUAUUUAUUAAUUAUUUUAAAAAUAUAUAAUAUGUGACUACAAUACUACAAAAUUUACAUUAGUUUCAAUAUUGUGAGUCGCUUAGGAAAGUAGUUAGUAAAUCAUCUUCUUAGUUAUCGAGAUAUUUAAUAGAAAUAAGAUCACAAAAGAUAACAAAAAGCUUUUUCAUUAGAUAUUCAUUAUGGGUAUAAAUUCAAGGCAACGCAGGUUACCUACCCGUAAAAUGCGGACACCCAAAUACUCACGACAAGUAUUCGGGUACCCGCAUUACCUGCAAAUUAUGAAUCAUUGCAAAUUGUUAAUGUCAUCUAUACGCAAAAUGAGAAUACACGUAACUCAAAUUUCCUAAAUCUCUUAAAAAAUAAUCAAAAUAUCCUCUCUAUUUAAUCAAUUAUCCAUAAAUCAAAACUUUGAAACCUAUGACCAAAAGAAUAUCAUGAAAUGGCCAAAACCAACAAAAAUCCAAAAAGGCCAACCAACACCAACGAAGUUAUAUGGAGUAAAAAAGGCUAAACUUGCAUGUUGAACCUUUUAGCAUCUCCGAAUAUAUUAUAAAAAGAAUAAAUAUCACUUUAAACCAAACUAUUUUUCACACCAUCAAUUAUAUCAUGAACUAUUAAACAUAUAUUUUUUAAAACCUUUAACUAUCAAAUUUAUAUAAUUGAUAAAAAAUAAGAUUAGUCAGUCUUAAUUAAAGAGCCUCUUCGUGAUUGAGAUAUAUAAUUGUUUGCUAAAUUGAGUUCCGAGAAAAUCACAUUCCUUUUCCUAAUUAAGAUUGCUUCAUGUCUGAUUUUGAUCUUUACAGAUUAUGUACAUAACUUGCUUUUUUAGGCUAUGCAUCAUCUUGCUCAAACAUAUCAUGUCUAUACAUUGUUGCAGCUCGCCUUUUUCGGUGAAAAUUGGCCACUAAUGGAGAGUUGCAGCAUUGCAUAGGCGUGGUGUUUGAACAAGAUACUUGCGUUGAUCGAUUUCCACACUCCGACCCAAACAAGAUGUUUGUGUUAGUCGAAUUUCAUUAAUUUUUUUUUUUUUGAUCGGGCAAAGUCAUGUUAGAUGUUAGUAGUUAGUUCCUCAUCCACUCCAAGAACCACCUUAUCUCUCAAUUCACCAAAAUCCACCUUAUAUCUCCAAUCUCCAAUUCGCUCCCAAGAGGGAUCGAACCCAGGUCACUUCACUUAAGUGAGGACCCGGUGGCCAGUGGGCUAAGCCCCCCUUACGCUUGCAACUUCUAACGUCACUAUAAGUUGUAAUUCAUCAUUAUUCGAUCCAAUAUAGUACUCCCUCUGCCCCACAAUUUAGUAAGAAUAAUAAGAGUUUUAACAAAGUGAUUGAAUAUGUUACGAAUAGAAUUUUUCUUUUUUCGCCCCACAAUUUAGCAUCCGUUUAGAAAGGCCCGAAUUUUAAUAAAAUGACUGUUGCGAAUAUAAUAUUUUUCUUGUUAAUUUAAAGAAGUUAACAAGUAGUUUAGUGUUAUUGAGUAUAUUGCUAGUAGAAUAAAUGUCUAACCUUUACUAGAGUUUUAAAGUGAUUAAAGUGUGAGUAAAUGGCACAUACAUUGGGAUUGUGUGGAGCACUUUUAUUAAAAAUAUAAAGGGAUACUAAAUUGGAAGACAAACUAAAAUGAAAAUAUAAAUAUUAAAUUGUGGGAGGGAGAGAGUAUAUUGCAUAGGUAACCCUAUAAAAUAUAAAUAGGGUUAUUAAAUAUAUAUAAAUUUUCAAUAAUAAAGUGUAAUGAUAAUAGUAAUUAAAUAAAUUUGGAUUAAUAGAUGAUGAAAAUUGUCAUUACACCUGUUAUUGUUAUUAUUAUAGCGUAUUGCACAUCAUAAUUAAUAAAUAAAUAUUUUCAUUGACAAAUAUAAAUAAAAAGUUGUAAAAUUUUAAUGAAUAGAGAGAGUAUAAAAUACUUUAAUUUUUAAAAUUUUCAUAACUUAUUCAUUUUAAUUUCAUUUUUGAUGAUUUUAUACCAUUUUAAAGAUUUCAUCACAAACUUAAAUUUAAUAUGCAUAUUAAAUAUUUUUUCAUGAUGAAAAUUUGAUGAUGUUUAGAAAAAAAAUUAUAAAAGAGAGAGAGAAAAAAAAAAUAGUGAACAAAUUAAUGGAAAAAGAGAUAAAUGGAGGGAAAUACCUUCCUUUUUAUAUAGUACUAGUAUGACCAUUCGUGCGAUGCACGACGAACAUCGAAAUUAACCACAUGUUUUAAAUAAAAAUAUAUAAAUAUUAGAUAAAUUAUAAUUAAACACAAAAUAUAUUUUAAAAAUAAAUUAAAGAUAAACCUCAUCAAUUACAAAUUUUAACUUUGUAUAAUGUGUAAUGAUAAUCAUAGUUAUUAAAUAAUCUCAAUUUUUUUGAUAAUAAAAAUUAACAUUACACAUUAUUAUUAUAAAGUAUUACACGACAUAUUAAAUGAAUAAAUAUUCUCAUGGACUAACAUAAAUAAAAAAAUAUAUAAAAUUUUAGCGAAGAGAGAGAAAAUAAAAUAUCUUAAAAUUUUCAUAACUUAUUCGUUUUAAAUUCAUUUUUGAUGAUUUGUUUGUUUUUACCAUAUUAAAAAACUUGUCACAAAAUUAAAUUUAAGAUGCAUAUUGAAUAUUUUUUUCAUAAAUAAAAUUUUGUGAUGUUUAGAAAAUAAUUAAAAUUAUAAAAAAGAAGAGAAGAUACUGAAAAAUUUGGUGGAAGAAGAGAGAGAAAAAAUAGAGGGAAAGAAUGGAGGAAAAAAACUCCUCUUUUAUAUAUUAUAUAGAUUAGCAAUACUAUGAGAAACUAGAAUCUGCAACAUUUGGUACUUGCACUUUAACCUCAUCUUUGUCCCAUUAAAUGUCACAGAUACUAAGUAGUGUAGUUCAGUUUUGGUAAAAGUGUGCUAUUUACAACGAACGAGUAUAACUCAAUGAAGUUGUGAAGACCUUUCUCAAAAAAGCAGGCCCCGUUAUACAAAGACAAGUAGAGAAACAAGAUAUAUGAUAGUUUACCUCAUGGAUUAGUCGCGAAAUGGUUGAAUAUAGUUUCGAGUGUGGAUUGGCUGAUGCUAUACUCAGAUAUGCCAAGCGCGUUUCUGCACAAGGGAUAGAACGGAUAAGUGAUGAAUAAGGAGAAACGGGCGAGUAAAAGACGUUGUAAGCUUUCCUUUUCUUACCUGUUUCUUUCCAUGUGCCCAAAAACAUCAGCCAGUGAGAGAUCUUCAUAGUAUGGCAGCUGAAACAGACAUAAAAUCAAGGUCAUAUGAACUCAAGUCUGCUGCUAUGAAUCUUAGAUUGCUAAUUUCCAGAAAUAGAAACGAGCGUUUUCGGAUGCUACUCAAGUUUACCUGGUAUUUAACACUCAAUCCAUCACAACCUUGGUAUGUCGCACCGGGAAAGGAGGAUUGGAUGAAUGUAUCGAUUGCUGCAAAUUUUUCUUUGGUUAGCCACCACUCUGAAAAUAACGGCAGCUGGAUCCCUCCUAGUAAGAUAGACAAAGACAAUUGGAUAUUGUGAGAAAUGGUGUAGAAUAUGUGGCUUCAAUCCUCAAGCAUGUGUGGCACUUGGAAAAAAAAAAUUAUUCAUACCAUCACGAAGCAACUGCUCUGACAACUGUUCACCAAAAGCCCCACGAGAAUCUCUAUAUGCUGAUACGAGAGUUUGCACUCGUUCUUCAUUACCAAGCCACCUCGCAAUUGUCACAAUCAUCUCAUUUGAUAAGCUGAUUUCUGCCACUGUUUCAGCAGUACUGCUGUCGGCACGUCCUAUGCAACCUUCAAGGUCAUUGAGUAUGCUUCGUGGCGGAGAAGCCAUGUGAAAGAACUCGUCUUGAAUUGUUUGGCACAUCAUAUCCAAGUCCAAAGAGCUCACUUCAGUAGGUUU